AGGAUAAACGCUGGCGGCGUGCCUAACACAUGCAAGUCGAACGCGCUUUCGGGCUUCGGUGCGAGAGCGAGUGGCGGACGGGUGAGUAACACAUGGGUACCUACCUUGGAGUGAGGGAUACCGGCGAGAAAUCGCCGACAAUACCGCAUAGGCUUCUUCACAAGGGAAGCAAAGUGACGCGAGUCACGCUGUGAGAUGGGCCUGUGGCCGAUUAGCUAGUUGGGGGGGUAACGGCUUCCCAAGGCGACGAUCGGUAGCUGGUCUGAGAGGACGAUCAGCCACACUGGGAUUGAGAACGGCCCAGACUCCUACGGGGGGCAGCAGUGAGGAAUUUUCCGCAAUGGAGGCAACUCUGACGGAGCAACGCCGCGUGCAGGAGGAAGGUUUUCGGAUCGUAAACUGCUUUUCGUCGGGGACGAGCGAAGGACGGUACCCGAGGAAGAAGCCCCGGCUAACUACGCGCCAGCAGCCG
rnacentral:rRNA from 1 species